UCAGUUCGGAUUGGAGUCUGCAACUCGACUCCAUGAAGCUGGAUUCGCUAGUAAUCGCGCAUCAGCCAUGGCGCGGUGAAUACGUUCCCGGGCCUUGUACACACCGCCCGUCAAGCCAUGGAAGCCGGGGGGUGCCUGAAGUGCGUGACCGCAAGGAGCGCCCUAAGGUAAAACCGGUGACUGGGGCUAAGUCGUAACAAGGUAGC
rnacentral:rRNA from 1 species